GUCUGACUGCCGAUACCGACGACCUCGGUCUACUCUGCCACGCCUCACCAGUAAAGGAUGGUGUUUUAUCCUGGAAGAGAAACGUGUCUGUACGAGCGCCUGUCAUUUCUGUGGCAGUGGUGUGCGGGCUUGUCUCUAAGGUCAAUCGCUCGGCGGUCUGGCAGGAGUCCAGACACGGUGCGCCGGUGGUUGCGGUGGUGGGAGCGUUGCGGGCGCCUGCUGAGGCCAGUAGGUAGCCAUAAGCACCGCUAUUCUCCCCGCUCUGCAAAAAAUGGAGGCAGGGACAUCUUGUACAGCGAGAAGGGCGCUACGCUCUCCACGCCACACCGGCAGCCGUACACGUGCCUGCUGUGUUACAGAGAUCCUCACUGAUUGUCGCUUAUGUCCUGGCUGUGUGGCGGAAUUCAUGUCCAAAAUCUAAUGCCUUUAGAACUCAAGCAGUAACAAGGAACAAUGAUAUUUUUUUCGUCCUCGAUUUUUUUUUAUCAAAUUUCGUUUGAGACGCGAAACACUAGAGGCAUUUAUUCUAUAAUUGAUUUCCAUUGUCAUCUGAGCAUUCUCAGCAAAGAAAAUAUUAUUUCCUUGAUUAUUUACCUAUUUGUUUUUUCAAUGAAUGACAUGAAAGUGUGAAUGUAAUUUCCAGCUUAUACUUGUGAAAGAAUUUUUUUAAAGAACGCAAAAUAGGCAAACGAGCCAUGUUGUUUUUAUCUGAGUUAGUUAAACCACUUAAUAAGUAUAGUCUAGAAUUUAAGAUCUUUCCAUUAUUCAAAUAAAUUAAUGGCGUGUCUCUUUUGCUCAGAUCAAGUUGAAGAAGACAUGGUUCCCUUGUGUAGAACGCAGAAUUAUUCAUAUACGUAGAUUGUCUGAUGAGAAAGCCAUUAUGCAAUUCGUAAGGAUAACGACAAUAGAAGACAUACUGUGUACAGGAACCUUGUGAAUCAGUUAAUGAAAUGAAAGGAGUAAUGGGAGUUGUGCCGUUCCCUGACUGUGCAAGGUGUUCAUAGAAUAGGGAAGCAUUUAGUUUCAGUAUGUUAAUAGUAUUCUGUGUCGAUUUUGUUGCUGUUGUUGUCUUUAGAUUACUUUCUUUCGAUUUAUUGCCACGAGAGCAUAAUACAAGAAGAGAUUAUCAGAACGGAGUGUUUUAUAUGUAUACAGAAAAACUUAGGAAACAAAUUUUCUUCAACGAAUGUUUCCAAUAAAUAUACUACUUGAUUUAA